rnacentral:rRNA from 1 species
UACGGGGGGGGCAAGCGUUGUUCGGAAUUACUGGGCGUAAAGGGCUCGUAGGCGGCCCACUAAGUCAGACGUGAAAUCCCUCGGCUUAACCGGGGAACUGCAUCUGAUACUGGAUGGCUUGAGUUCGGGAGAGGGAUGCGGAAUUCCAGGUGUAGCGGUGAAAUGCGUAGAUAUCUGGAGGAACACCGGUGGCGAAGGCGGGUCCCUGGGCCGAUACUGACGCUGAGGAGCGAAAGCGUGGGGAGCGAACAGG